GAACACAGCAACAAUACCGCCUGCGACAUCUGUCACCCCAUUGAUCGCCGAGUUGAUUCGGCUGAUCUGGCUGGCUAGGUGGGUGUCCCCUUCCUCCCUCACUGCUCCAUGUGUGUCCCUCCCAAAACUGUGUGCUCAGUGGAAGAGGACGAUGCCCCAGGUUAUGAUUUAACAACUA
rnacentral:snRNA from 1 species